GCCUCUGUAGCUCAGUUACGUUGGUUAGAGCACUGCACCAGAGUCGCAGGGCCGCAGGUUCGAUUCCUGCCAGGGACC